GUGCCUAUAGCUCAAUCGGUUAGAGCGCUUGUCUGUGGAACAAGAGGUUACGGGUUCAAGUCCCGUUAGGCACCCCA
rnacentral:tRNA from 1 species